AUGGCAUGCUAUUUGGGCCAACUAACAAGAAAUCAAAUAAAGAGUACGAUAAUUAGCAGUAUAUUAUAUAAACAAAUAAAAAUUGACUAGCUAUAUGCACCAUGGAAGUUUGCAUAAGUAAAUACAACAUAUUUCAGUUAUGAAAAUGCAGAAGCAUAUUAUUUCACCUGCUAAACAAUGACUUCCACACUCCAUCUCAGGAGAGAAAAAAAGAAAAAUGAUCAACUAUCUCUA
rnacentral:misc_RNA from 1 species